AAUUUUGUGUCUUGGAAUGAAUAAUAGUUCAAUUUAAACUGUGACCGACUAACAAUUAAUGUACCCUCAUUUACUUUGCCUCACCCUAGCACAAUAACCUGGUCAAGGUCAGCCGGCUGCCAGUCAAAGCGCUAUGAUCGCCAUAAAUGUGUCUCAAAAAUUAGAACACCCACCGCAGACCUCAUUCAAGCAACCUAAGCGCUUAGAUUGAUUGGCUGAUAACUCCUACAUUACUCUAUAUAUUGUCAGUUAAUUGUUUAUAUAUUCAUAAAGAGAAGCAUCUUUCACUGAAAAUAUCAAAAACAUUUGCCGAACCCAUGAAUAAUAUCUUUAGCGCAUUUAAUUGUGGAACAAUCCAUAAUUUCCAUUUCAAAUUAAAACAAUGAAUUGGAUCUUCUUCACCUGUAUCAGUGUAGAUAACACCAAACUACCGUACUAAUUGCUAUAUGUACCAGUAACUCAGUUCGCGAACGAGCGUAUAUCAUUCUACGAUAACCUUUAGGAGACCAAUGUCAAGAAUAGUGUUCUUUAUUAUCCACCAACCAAAAGACGCAUAUUUCGUGGAAAGUUACAUAAUGAUGUUCAGAAAAAUAAGACGCGAGGCGCGAUAACGUGGUAAAAUUUGUUCCUUGAGGAAUACAUGAUUGCGUGAUAUUUAGUCUUCGCUGUUAGAUGGCAUUGAAACGCGUUCACGGAAGCACCUGUUUAACGUGCAAAUGUUAUAUUUGUAAAACGUGUAGUGAGCUUACGCGAUCGACAUAUUAUUGGCAUCUGAUAUCUAAAUUGAAGUCUGUCUCAGUGAUGUGAUCGUUAUAAGUAGCACCCGAAUUCAAGUCUCUGAGAAGCAAUUGAUGUGGCCUAUAUAAACGCUUAGUCCGAAAUUGAUAACACAUAUACAUCCCGACAUUGGUAUCCGGUUUGAUAAAACGUGCUAAUAAUAGUAAAUCACCAAUUCUAACUCAUUACACAUUAUUCAAUAUAUCAAGCUGCUCGUUCAGCAAAGCAGUGAUUCGCUAUCAGUGA